UUGAGAAAACUGCAAGGUUCUUUUUCUUCUUUUUUAAGUGGAGGAAUAGGAUUUAAAAGAAUUUUGAGGAAACUGCUGCUGCCAAAGCCCCCCUCGUGAAAAGAACAGGGCCACGCUCCGGGGACGAGGCUCCAGCUCCAGCUCCCAGGAUGGAGGGCAAGAGACGGAGCCAAGAUGCCCGUACGGAGGUGGAGGCCAGGUUUGGGGAACUCGUAAGAUCAGCGAGGGAACAACUCAGCCUGGGAGCCACUGCAUCCCGGGAGGGACUGAAGCCCAGGUGAAGGAUACCUGCCUCGGAGAAUCUCCCCCCUGUACCUGCUGCCCAAGCCUCCUCCCAGAAGACCGUAGGAUGUUCCGGCAGAACCAUAAUAAAUGGUUGCCAAUGUCUCUCAUUUUUGUCCGAGUGAAACAUAUGAUAUGCACACUACCUUAGGAAAUUGUCUGAUCCCAGUUUGUACACAGCCUUUCCAUAUGGCACAUGCCACACACAUGGGAAAGUGGUUUUCUAAAUGGAUUCCUGAAGGUAUCAUUGGUUAUACCAAUCUCCAUGAUUGGGGACAGGUGAAACAAGGCCCUCUGUCUGGUUCCCUGUAACCUCACUCCUCGCAAUGAAGGAACC